rnacentral:rRNA from 1 species
UACGAAGGGGGCUAGCGUUGCUCGGAAUCACUGGGCGUAAAGCGCACGUAGGCGGAUUGUUAAGUCAGGGGUGAAAUCCUGGAGCUCAACUCCAGAACUGCCUUUGAUACUGGCGAUCUUGAGUCCGGGAGAGGUGAGUGGAACUGCGAGUGUAGAGGUGAAAUUCGUAGAUAUUCGCAAGAACACCAGUGGCGAAGGCGGCUCACUGGCCCGGGUACUGACGCUCAUUGAGCGAAAGCG